GGGUUUGUAGCCUAGUGGUAAGAGCGUCGGACUGACGACCUGAAGGUCGGGGGUUCGAUUCCCGAUUCUA
rfam:Macrostomum lignano unitig_22807, whole genome shotgun sequence.